UUCAUAUAUUGGCAAUCAUUAGCUUAGGGCUUGGGCCCUAAAAGACACAUCAUCAGCUUUAGCGCAAUCUUGCAAAACUACAUUGCCAGAUUUAAUCAAAUACUUUAGUUAUUUUAGUUUGCGUGUGUCCAUGUAUGAUCCUUAGAUACCCCUUUCUUUGUAUGUGUUAUGCAUUAUCUUUAUCUACUGUGUUGAUUGUUAAGGACAUUUCCUUCUUUUUAUUGAACUUAUUCGAGUAUAUUUGC
rnacentral:lncRNA from 1 species